rnacentral:rRNA from 1 species
GAUGAACGCUAGCGGCAGGCUUAACACAUGCAAGUCGAGGGGUAGAACACUUCGGUGUUUGAGACCGGCGCACGGGUGCGUAACGCGUAUGCAAUCUGCCUUUCACAGAGGGAUAGCCCAGAGAAAUUUGGAUUAAUACCUCAUAGCAUAACACAAUCGCAUGAUUGAGUUAUUAAAGUCACAACGGUGAAAGAUGAGCAUGCGUCCCAUUAGCUAGUUGGUAAGGUAACGGCUUACCAAGGCAACGAUGGGUAGGGGUCCUGAGAGGGAGAUCCCCCACACUGGUACUGAGACACGGACCAGACUCCUACGGGAGGCAGCAGUGAGGAAUAUUGGUCAAUGGGCGCAAGCCUGAACCAGCCAUGCCGCGUGCAGGAUGACGGUCCUAUGGAUUGUAAACUGCUUUUGUACGAGAAGAAACACUCCAACGUGUUGGAGCUUGACGGUAUCGUAAGAAUAAGGAUCGGCUAACUCCGUG